rnacentral:tRNA from 1 species
GCCUGGGUGGCUCAGUGAUUGAGCAUCUGCCUUCAGCUCAGGGUGUGAUCCUGGGGUCCUGGGAUCAAGUCCCACCUCAGGCU